AGUAGGGAAUCUUCCACAAUGGGCGCAAGCCUGAUGGAGCAACACCGCGUGAGUGAAGAAGGGUUUCGGCUCGUAAAGCUCUGUUGUUAAAGAAGAACAUAUCUGAGAGUAACUGUUCAGGUAUUGACGGUAUUUAACCAGAAAGUCACGGCUAACUACGCGCCAG
rnacentral:rRNA from 1 species